GGCCGCCUGGCGAAAUGGCAUCGCGUCUGACUACGAUCAUGAAGAACAUGUUGCAUUGAAUCAGGAGAUUGCAGGUUCGACCCCUGCGGUGGUCA
rfam:Fistulina hepatica ATCC 64428 unplaced genomic scaffold FISHEscaffold_565, whole genome shotgun sequence.